rnacentral:rRNA from 1 species
AGCGAACGCUGGCGGCAGGCCUAACACAUGCAAGUCGAACGAACCUUUCGGGGUUAGUGGCGGACGGGUGAGUAACACGUGGGAACGUGCCUUUAGGUUCGGAAUAACUCAGGGAAACUUGUGCUAAUACGGAAUGUGCCCUUCGGGGGAAAGAUUUAUCGCCUUUAGAGCGGCCCGCGUCUGAUUAGCUAGUUGGUUGAGGUAAUGGCUCACCAAGGCGACGAUCAGUAGCUGGUCUGAGAGGAUGAUCAGCCACAUUGGGACUGAGACACGGCCCAAACUCCUACGGGAGGCAGCAGUGGGGAAUCUUGCGCAAUGGGCGAAAGCCUGACGCAGCCAUGCCGCGUGAAUGAUGAAGGUCUUAGGAUUGUAAAAUUCUUUCACCGGGGACGAUAAUGACGGUACCCGGAGAAGAAGCCCCGGCUAACUUCGUG